AUGGUUGGGCGGCUCCUUUCUUCAGAUCUCAGCCACAGUGGAUUGGGAGACCAUUAUGAGAAUUCCCACUGGGGACAGCAGCCCGCUUUCAGGAGUGAAGGCAACUGCAGCUGGGAUAAAGUGAUAAUAGACAGGACUGACAAGGAAGCGUGGCCUUCCAUUACCGGAGCUGAGACUGAGUCUGCCUCAGAAUGUACUACAGACACUGACUCUGCCUCCAACUGUGGCUCAGAGAACAGUAGCAUGGCUACAGGGAGUGCCCAAGGCAACUUCACUGGACAUACAAAGAAAACUAAUGGCAAUAAUGGCGCCAACGGAGCACUCGUCCAAAGCACUUCUAACCAGAGUGCCCUUGGAGCUGGUGGAGCAAACGGUAACGGCAACUCGGCCAGAGUGUGGGGAGUGGCUGCGGGCUCCAGCUCUGGCCUAGCUCACUGCUCUGCCAGCGGUGGGGAUGGAAAGAUGGACAACAUGAUGGGAGAUGGUAGAAGUCAGAACUGCUGGGGUGCUUCCAACUCGAAUGCUGGCAUUAAUCUUAACCUUAACCCUAAUGCCAAUCCAGCUGCCUGGCCUGUACUUGGACAUGAAGGAACUGUGGGAGCAGGCAACCCUUCCAGUAUUUGCAGUCCAGUCAGUGCCAUAGGUCAGAACAUGGGCAACCAGAAUGGGAACCCAACAGGCACCUUAGGUGCUUGGGGAAACUUGCUGCCGCAAGAGAGCACAGAACCACAAACGUCCACUUCUCAGAAUGUGUCUUUCAGCGUACAACCUCAGAACCUUAACACUGAUGGACCAAAUAACACUAACCCCAUGAACUCUUCACCAAACCCUAUCAAUGCAAUGCAGACAAAUGGACUGCCGAACUGGGGGAUGGCUGUUGGUAUGGGGGCCAUCAUCCCGCCCCACCUGCAAGGCCUUCCUGGUGCUAACGGAACAUCAGUUUCUCAAGUCAGCGGGGGCAGUGGUGAAGGAAUAGGCAGUUCAGUGUGGGGGAUGUCCCCAGGUAAUCCUGCCACAGGAAACAGCAAUUCUGGGUUCAGUCAGGGGAAUGGAGACACUGUGAACUCAGCAUUAAGUGCUAAACAAAAUGGAUCCAGCAGUGCUGCGCAGAAGGAAGGAAAUGGAGCGAGCGCGUGGGAUUCGGGGCCUCCCUCUGGUCCUGGGGUACUGGCGUGGGGCAGGGGCGGUGGCAACGGCGGUGUUGGUAGCAUGCAUUCUGGAGCUUGGGGCCACCCCAACCGUAACACCAGUAACGGUGUGAACGGUGACUGGGGCAAGCCCCCAAACCAGCAUUCCAACAGCGACAUCAAUGGGAAAGGAUCAGCAGGGUGGGAUAGCUCUAGUGUUACCAGUCCGAAUCCUGCCAUGCAGCAGGGCAAUGAACAAAUAAACUCUUGGGCCAAAGCUGCAGCAUCUGGCACCACAGCUAGCGAAGGAAGUAACGACAGCGGUGGGAGUCAAAACGAAGGCAGUACUGGGAGGGAGGGGGCUGGAGAGGGCAGGAGGAGAGACAAAGGGAUGAUAGACCAAGGGCAAGUUCAGUUGCCAAGAAAUGACCUUGACCCCAGGGUCCUGUCCAAUACGGGGUGGGGACAGACCCCUGUCAAGCAAAACACUGCCUGGGAAUUUGAAGAGUCCCCAAGGUCUGAACGAAAGAAUGACAAUGGAACAGAGGCCUGGGGUUGUGCAGCUACUCAAUCUUCAAACUCAGGGGGGAAGAACGAUGGGUCCAUCAUGAACAGUACAAAUACCUCUUCAGUAUCUGGGUGGGUCAACUCUCCACCGGCAGCUGUUCCAACAAAUACAGGUUGGGGAGACAAUAACAACAAAGCACCAAAUGGCCCAGGGGGGUGGGGAGAGUCAGCAAGCUCUACUACUGUUAAUAAUGCUGCUGCUGCCAAAAGCGGCCACGCUUGGAGUGGGACCGCAAAUCAGGAGGACAAAUCACCUACCUGGGGUGAACCUCAGAAACCCAAAUCUCAAAACUGGGGAGAUGGACAGAAAUCAAAUCCAAGCUGGACUUCAGGAGGUGGAGAUUGGACAGAUUCAUCAUCUGUUCCUGGACACUUGGGUGAUGGGAAGAAGAAUGGAUCUGGAUGGGAUUCUGACAAUAGAUCAGGGUCUGGUUGGAACGAUUCCACGAGGUCUGGGACCAGUGGUUGGGGAAAUGGCACAAACAGCAAGGCUAAUACAGGUACAAGUUGGGGGGAAUCUUUAAAGCCAAGCCCCCAACAAAAUUGGGCUAAUAAACCCCAGGACAACAAUGUGAGUAACUGGGGAGGAGCUGCUUCUGUAAAACAGACGGGGUCAGGGUGGGUUGGUGGGCCAGUGCCAGCCAAACAAAAAGAGAACUGUGAGGCAACUGGCUGGGAAGAGCCAUCUCCACCGUCCAUUCGCCGCAAGAUGGAAAUCGAUGAUGGUACCUCAGCUUGGGGCGACCCAAAUUACAACAACAACAAGACUGUAAACAUGUGGGAUAGAAAUAAUCCUAUAAUUCAGAGCAGUACCACAACCAAUACCACCACCACUAGCACCAUUAUCAACACAAAUAUGGUUGAACCUCAGCCAUCGCACCAGUCAAGUGCCCAGCCGAACCGGUCCCCGCUGCUUGGUCCAGGUAUGAAAAUAGUUUUAUAA